rnacentral:lncRNA from 1 species
CGUAGUGCUACGUAGAUUUUGACUAUUGAACGUGUAGUUAUAGACUAGUUGUUACAUAUAUAUUGAAAGCAGCUACGUAGCCGCUACGUAGCUGAUACGAUAUUGAACUCAACCCAGGAUUUGUUUUCUGUCAAUCGAUUUAUGACUUUUUAACAGCAGUAUACUAUACGGUUGCCUUUAUUUAUAUCAUCUGCGUCACCGGAUUACGUUUACAUAUAUCAAUUGAAACAUUACGUGAAUCCAUAUUCAUUAUCUGGACUAAAAAAAAGACUGACUUUAUCAAAAUAAAAACUUUACCAGUAGUGUUAUAGAGCCCUAGAAGUAUAUUCUAAGUGGUAUCGACGCUACUCAGGUUUAACGGUCAAUAACACCAAUUAUUUUACAGAUUCAAUGUGUUUGAUUGAACUCAUGUGGUUUGUGUUCCCGCAGUCUGAGAUUUAAAGAAAGAGGAAGGUUGUCUGAUUUGUGAGUCUAAUUGUUGUUAACAGUUUCCUUUUCAAACAUUCUUUUUGCGUCUGGAUUCCAAUGACAGAUGAUACAUCACAAUGCAUAGCAGGGACGUAAACUAUGUCGACACAGAGGGUCUCGCCACG